AAUGGGAGUAAAGCUAGAUUAUGGAACGGCAAUUGAGUGGGGGUUAUAACACUGUAUGAGAAAUUCUCAGAUAUUUUCUCCAUUUCGAAGAAUUGAUGGUCUGUUAUUUCUAUAUUUCUACAUGUUCAGGCCUUAAUCUUAAUUUAAAUAAAAUGGUUAUUGUUGGGAUUGAUGUUGAAGAGGAUGAGAGAAGGCACAAGUGCAAUGCUAAGUUGUAGAAUUGAUGCUUUGCCUUUCAAUUACCUUGGGAUCCUUUGGGGGUAAAUUUUCAGGAAAAAUCUUUUUGGGACCAGGUGUUUGAUUAAUUUACAAAAAGGAUUCUAAAGGAGGUUAUCUUAUCCUAACUCAAUCGAUUCUUUGUAGUCUCCCUCUCUUUUAUUUUUCGGUCCUGAAGGAUCUUGUGGGAGUUACACAGGAAACAGGGGAUUUUUUUUUUUCUUUUUUGGGACGGGGGAACUCAUAAACCAUGUAGUCACUUGGUGAAUUGGGGAAAAACUUUUCUUCCAUUACUUAUGGGGGUCUCGGUUUUUGAGCCUACCAGCAAAGAAACAGCACCUUAUUACUAAGUGGUUGUGGAGGUUCACUCAAGAAGAAGGGGCUCUUCGCAGAAGGUUGAUAGGUCAUGUUUACGGUCAAGAGCCAAAUGGGUGGAAGACUCUUUGAGCCAAAGGGAAAAGCGAGAGGAAAGUCACGGUUAGAAAUUUCCUAGAACUAUAACUUCUUCUGGUUUCCUAAUUUUAAAGUAAAUAAUGGGAGUAAGGUUAGAUUUUGGAAGGCCAAGUGGGUGGGGAGUCUAAUGCUGGAUGAGAAAUUCCCAGAUACUUUCUCCAUUUCGAUGAAGCAGGAUGCGGAAUAGUGAGGAGAGAGAUUGGUAGCCUACCGAGAGGUCUCUUUGAUAGGGAGCUGGAUAGCUUGGUUGGGCUCAUUGAUGCACUUGAUGUUGUCCAGUUGCGAGAGUCCAAUGACCGAGCUUUGUAGUCUCUUGAUGCAGGUGGGGUAUUCUCCUCAAACUCUGUUUUUUUUUUUUUGUGAAGUUGAUGGGUUCUGCCUCUUCAGUGAAGUCUCAUAUUUUAAAUGCUAUUUGGCAUUUUAAGUGCCCUAAAAAGUGAAGGGUUUUUUUUUGAGGUCUAUAGUUCAUAGAAUUUUGGAAUACUCGGUAAAUGGUUCAAAAGAAAUGCAGGAACUGGGUUCUCUCACUGUCGGUGUGCUGUCUUUGCCUUAAAAGAGGAGAAUCUGGAUCUUUUGGUUCUGCAUUGCCUAUUUGCUGCCAAUGGGUGGAAAAUGCCCAAAGGGCCAACAUUUUGUGGUCUUGUGUGGUCAGGGCACUGGUGUGGCACGUUUGGCUGGAAAGAAAUCAGAGGGUCUUGGAGGAUAAGUCUUCUUAUCUUUAGUUUUUUUAAGUAAACAGCAUACAGUUUCUAGUUGGGCGUCUAGUCACAGGAAAUUCUCUUGUAUUAAAACCUUACUACAGUCUUUAACAACUGGAAAACGUUCUUUUAUUAUGUUCAAGGCUGAGGCUCCUUCUACCCCGGCCUCUAGGUUGUUUCCCCCAUUGUUCUCCUUUUAAUGCAAUUCUCAUUUUUCGUAAAAA